ACCUCGUGUCAAAAAUAACUCAACAGAUAAAUUGCACGUCUCCAUCGCACACAUUAGGGGUUGUUACUGUUUGAUGUGCUUGUUGUUACUUCGGUGUAUCAAUUUGCCAAUUUCAUGUUUCUAGGGAGGCACUAAAUAAUUUUUUUUCUUUAUUUCUGUCAAUCACGGAGAGAAGACUGAUAGAACAGCGUCUGUGAUGUUGUCAGUCGGCCCAGCUCUUCCAGAAACAUCCGCGCCAUUUCAGCGUUCGAGGAUUACUGCUCAGAGGGCCCUAAAUUUGAGAAGUGCUGACUGGCGCAGUAUAUUGGUGUACUGGUGCUAACGAAGCCCGAUAUCAUUUCAAAUGCUCUUGAAACUCCACCAGAAAAAAUGGUUGAAGGAAGAAAAGGUGGUCUGCAAUAAAGAUUCUACGUGACACCAAUUGUAGAUUUGCCCGUGGUACCUUCAUCCUAACCCUACCGUGUCUGUAGCCUUUCAGAGGGAGGACAACAAUGCUUGACUGGCAGACACUUUUAUCCAGAGCAACUUGCACUGCAAGUGUGCAUAUAAGGGAUUGAAGUACAGUAAUUCCCCAGAGGUGGAGACUACGGUUACAAGAGAGACAGCAAGUGCAAGCACAGACUUGAUUGACAGCUUGUCAACUACCCUAUUCAACAGUAAACUAAGUUGUACAAACGAGUGUUGAGCUGCAUUACAUGAGCAACGGCAAAGACUCCCAAGCUGUAAGAUAGAAGUCACACACAAUCAGCGGUUAGUUUGAGCUGAGGUGCCGUGGUACAGUUUAAAAUGGUGGGUCUUCAGUGACUACCUGACUACCUGGGUGGCUGCUACAAGACCAGGUGAUCACCAAUGAACUAUGUUUCUAAUGACAUGAUACCCACACAGUACCAAUAACCUCAAAUCAGAAAGAUUUAAACUGGCUUCUCAUUAACCGAUCAUGUUUACAAUGCUCUGAAUUUUUUACAGUUUAAUUGGUCAGGAUCACUCCUACACAACAUGCCUGCCAGCAAAAGACUCAUAGGGCAGGAAAGAAAUAAUGCUUGUUGAGAACCUUCAUUACACCUUCAACUCAUUAAAGAGUUACUACCAAUCCAUGUAGACCAGACCUGUUGAAGAAACACCCCAGUGGAUUUGGGAGUCUUUGUGUCAGUAUGAGUCGAUUGUGUCUCUUGCGAUUGAUAAUUUGCGAAACCCCGCAAAUUAUCAAUCCCGAGAGGGUCAGAAUUGCUCGAUGGUUACCCCUCCUCAGAUGGGACGGAUUUGCUAAAGUAAAUACAUUCAAGACAGGAAGUCAAUAGUCUUCAUGUUUCAUGAAAUGUUACAGUUGACAUCUUUUGGCAAAUCCAAAAAAACAAAAAAAACUUUGAACUUGAGGAACACGCUCAUGCAAUUAUGUUCUAUCUUCUCAUCUCCUCAGUACCAUACCAGUAUUUUACAUUUAAAUGCAGGUUUUGUGUCAUAAAAAUUGCUAUUCGUAUUUUUGGUGUAAUAUCGCUGCUAUUCCAGUCUAUGGCUUUAACAUUUAGCCCUAGCUGGUGACUGGGUCCCAUCAUGACCUAUCAGUGUCACGCUGGUGCAGUCACAGUGGAGAGGGAAAACACAAAACGCGACUUUGUCUGAAGUCCUUCUAUUUUUGGGUUUGUUUUUGGUCACUCGCAUUUGUCAGCAGCCUAAUCAAUGUGGCUUCAGUGCGGACGUGGGCGGCUUGUUACUCCUUUUAGUUAUUUGGAAAGGACACGCGCCCGUUACUCAGUCCGACCCCCCAGCUUUCUGCUCACGUCAGAUUUUCCUGCCGGUGCUUACUCCCCCAUUCAGCAGCGCCACGCGCCUGAGUCAUUGUUAUUUAUUUCAUUACAUAAUUAUGAGUCUGUGCCUCAUUCAUUAUUCAUGUUUGGCUCCGCCUCUUUUGUCUUUUGGUUUGGAUGUGCGCAUCCACUGGUAGGGGGGGUGUCACAACAGGAGGCUGU